rnacentral:rRNA from 1 species
AUUGAACGCUGGCGGCAUGCUUUACACAUGCAAGUCGAACGGUAACAGGCCGCAAGGUGCUGACGAGUGGCGAACGGGUGAGUAAUGCAUCGGAACGUGCCCAGUCGUGGGGGAUAACGCAGCGAAAGCUGUGCUAAUACCGCAUACGAUCUAUGGAUGAAAGCGGGGGACCGUAAGGCCUCGCGCGAUCGGAGCGGCCGAUGUCAGAUUAGGUAGUUGGUGGGGUAAAGGCCCACCAAGCCAACGAUCUGUAGCUGGUCUGAGAGGACGACCAGCCACACUGGGACUGAGACACGGCCCAGACUCCUACGGGAGGCAGCAGUGGGGAAUUUUGGACAAUGGGCGCAAGCCUGAUCCAGCGAUGCCGCGUGCAGGAAGAAGGCCUUCGGGUUGUAAACUGCUUUUGUACGGAACGAAACGGUCUGGGUUAAUACCUCGGGCUAAUGACGGUACCGUAAGAAUAAGCACCGGCUAACUACGUGCCAGCCGCCGCAGUAA